rnacentral:rRNA from 1 species
GACGAACGCUGGCGGCGUGCUUAACACAUGCAAGUCGAACGGAAAGGCCCUGCUUUUGUGGGGUGCUCGAGUGGCGAACGGGUGAGUAACACGUGAGUAACCUGCCCUUGACUUUGGGAUAACUUCAGGAAACUGGGGCUAAUACCGGAUAGGAGCUCCUGCUGCAUGGUGGGGGUUGGAAAGUUUCGGCGGUUGGGGAUGGACUCGCGGCUUAUCAGCUUGUUGGUGGGGUAGUGGCUUACCAAGGCUUUGACGGGUAGCCGGCCUGAGAGGGUGACCGGCCACAUUGGGACUAAGAUACGGCCCAGACUCCUACGUGAGGCAGCAGUGGGGAAUAUUGCACAAUGGGCGGAAGCCUGAUGCAGCAACGCCGCGUGCGGGAUGACGGCCUUCGGGUUGUAAACCGCUUUCGCCUGUGACGAAGCGUGAGUGACGGUAAUGGGUAAAGAAGCACCGGCUAACUACGUG